rnacentral:rRNA from 1 species
UACGUAGGGUGCAAGCGUUGUCCGGAAUUAUUGGGCGUAAAGGGCUCGUAGGCGGUUUGUCGCGUCGGGAGUGAAAUCCAUUGGCUUAACUGGUGGCUUGCUUUCGAUACGGGCAGACUGGAGGUAUGCAGGGGAGAACGGAAUUCCUGGUGUAGCGGUGAAAUGCGCAGAUAUCAGGAGGAACACCGGUGGCGAAGGCGGCCAACCUGGACGAAUACUGACGCUGAGACACGAAGCGUGGGAGCAAACAGG